UUUAUGGAGAGUUUGAUCCUGGCUCAGGAUGAACGCUGGCGGCGUGCCUAAUACAUGCAAGUCGAGCGAACGGAUGAGAAGCUUGCUUCUCUGAUGUUAGCGGCGGACGGGUGAGUAACACGUGGAUAACCUACCUAUAAGACUGGGAUAACUUCGGGAAACCGGAGCUAAUACCGGAUAAUAUUUUGAACCGCAUGGUUCAAAAGUGAAAGACGGUCUUGCUGUCACUUAUAGAUGGAUCCGCGCUGCAUUAGCUAGUUGGUAAGGUAACGGCUUACCAAGGCAACGAUGCAUAGCCGACCUGAGAGGGUGAUCGGCCACACUGGAACUGAGACACGGUCCAGACUCCUACGGGAGGCAGCAGUAGGGAAUCUUCCGCAAUGGGCGAAAGCCUGACGGAGCAACGCCGCGUGAGUGAUGAAGGUCUUCGGAUCGUAAAACUCUGUUAUUAGGGAAGAACAUAUGUGUAAGUAACUGUGCACAUCUUGACGGUACCUAAUCAGAAAGCCACGGCUAACUACGUGCCAGCAGCCGCGGUAAUACGUAGGUGGCAAGCGUUAUCCGGAAUUAUUGGGCGUAAAGCGCGCGUAGGCGGUUUUUUAAGUCUGAUGUGAAAGCCCACGGCUCAACCGUGGAGGGUCAUUGGAAACUGGAAAACUUGAGUGCAGAAGAGGAAAGUGGAAUUCCAUGUGUAGCGGUGAAAUGCGCAGAGAUAUGGAGGAAC
rnacentral:rRNA from 1 species